rnacentral:rRNA from 1 species
UGGUAAUUCUAGAGCUAAUACAUGCUAAAAACCCCGACUUCGGGAGGGGUGUAUUUAUUAGAUAAAAAACCAAUGCCCUCCGGGGCUCCUUGGUGAAUCAUAAUAACUUAACGAAUCGCAUGGCCUUGCGCCGGCGAUGGUUCAUUCAAAUUUCUGCCCUAUCAACUUUCGAUGGUAGGAUAGUGGCCUACCAUGGUCUCAACGGGUAACGGGGAAUUAGGGUUCGACUCCGGAGAGGGAGCCUGAGAAACGGCUACCACAUCCAAGGAAGGCAGCAGGCGCGCAAAUUACCCAAUCCCGACACGGGGAGGUAGUGACAAUACAUACUGAUACAGGGCUCUUUUGGGUCUUGUAAUUGGAAUGAGUACAAUUUAAAUCCCUUAACGAGGAACAAUUGGAGGGCAAGUCUGGUGCCAGCAGCCGCGGUAAUUCCAGCUCCAAUAGCGUAUAUUAAAGUUGUUGCAGUUAAAAAGCUCGUAGUUGAACCUUGGGCCUGGCUGGCCGGUCCGCCUCACCGCGUGUACUGGUCCGGCCGGGCCUUUCCUUCUGGGGAGCCGCAUGGCCUUCACUGGCCGUGUCGGGGAACCAGGACUUUUACUUUGAAAAAAUUAGAGUGUUCAAAGCAGCCUUUGCUCGGAUACCUUAGCAUGGAAUAAUAGAAUAGACGCGGUUCUAUUUUGUUGGUUUCUAGGACCGCCGUAU